rnacentral:lncRNA from 1 species
CGCCCUGCGUUUUCUCUUUUUCUUCCUCUCUCCUUUCCCCUCCUUUCCUUCUUCCUGAUUGGGAAAUUUCAUCCCUCUUCCCUCCUUUUCUCUCCUCUUCUUUUUAUCCUAGCCACACACAUGGCUUCACAUAUCUUUGCUCCAAAAAUCUGGAGCCUUCCAAGUUAAAUAAAAUUACGAAAAUAUCCCUAACUUUAAAUGUUAAUAACUAUUCCGUCAUAACUC